GUGACGAAGCGACGCCGCGUGUGGGAUGAAGGCCUUCGGGUUGUAAACCACUGUCGGGAGUUAAGAAUUGUAGGAAUGCUAAUAGUAUUUCUACUUGACUAAGGCUCCGGAGGAAGCCACGGCUAACUCUGUGCCAGCAGCCGCGGUAAUACAGAGGCGGCAAGCGUUGUUCGGAAUUAUUGGGCGUAAAGAGCAUGUAGGCGGCUAUGUAAGUCGGUUGUGAAAGCCUUCCGCUUAACGGAAGAAUGGCGGUCGAAACUGCAUGGCUUGAGUGCGGGAGGGAGAGUGGAACUUCUGGUGGAGCGGUGAAAUGCGUAGAUAUCAGAAGGAACGUCGGCGGCGAAAGCGACUCUCUAGACCGUAACUGACGCUGAGUGUGCGAAAGCUAGGGGAGCAAACGGGAUUAGAUACCCCGGUAGUCCUAGCCGUAAACGAU
rnacentral:rRNA from 1 species